UACGUAGGGUGCAAGCGUUGUCCGGAAUUAUUGGGCGUAAAGAGCUCGUAGGCGGUUUGUUGCGUCGGCUGUGAAAUCCCGAGGCUCAACCUCGGGUCUGCAGUCGAUACGAGCAAACUAGAGUGUUGCAGGGGAGACUGGAAUUCCUGGUGUAGCGGUGAAAUGCGCAAAUAUCAGGAGGAACACCGGUGGCGAAGGCGGGUCUCUGGGCCGAUACUGACGCUGAGGAGCGAAAGCGUGGGGAGCGAACAGG
rnacentral:rRNA from 1 species